CAGUCGAGGGGCAUCGGGAGGGAAGCUUGCUUUCCUUGCCGGCGACCGGCGCUCGGGUGAGUAACACGUAUGCAACCUGCCCUCUUCAGGGGGACAACCUUCCGAAAGGGAGGCUAAUCCCGCGUAUAUCGGUUUCGGGCAUCCGUUAUCGAGGAAAGAUUCAUCGGAAGAGGAUGGGCAUGCGGCGCAUUAGCUUGACGGCGGGGUAACGGCCCACCGUGGCGACGAUGCGUAGGGGUUCUGAGAGGAAGGUCCCCCACACUGGUACUGAGACACGGACCAGACUCCUACGGGAGGCAGCAGUGAGGAAUAUUGGUCAAUGGGAGAGAUCCUGAACCAGCCAAGCCGCGUGAGGGAAGACGGCCCUAUGGGUUGUAAACCUCUUUUGUCGGAGAACAAAACCCGGGACGUGUCCCGGACUGCGUGUAUCCGAAGAAAAAGCAUCGGCUAACUCCGUGCCAGCAGCCGCGGUAAUACGGAGGAUGCGAGCGUUAUCCGGAUUUAUUGGGUUUAAAGGGUGCGUAGGCGGUCCGUUAAGUCAGCGGUAAAAUUGCGGGGCUCAACCCCGUCGAGCCGUUGAAACUGGCAGACUUGAGUUGGCGAGAAGUACGCGGAAUGCGCGGUGUAGCGGUGAAAUGCAUAGAUAUCACGAAGAACUCCGAUUGCGAAGGCAGCUUACCAGUCUGCGACUGACGCUCAGGCACGAAAGUGUGGGUAUCGAACAGGAUUAGAUACCCUGGUAGUCCACACAGUAAACGAUGAGCGCUAGGUGUCCGGGUCGCAUGAGACUUGGGUGCCCGAGCGAAAGCGUU
rnacentral:rRNA from 1 species